rnacentral:misc_RNA from 1 species
AACACCUCAACCUCCUCUUGAUUUUUCAAAAGGAGGGUGGACUUGAGCUAUCCCAACAACCUUUAUCGGUCGGCGGGCGGCUUGAAAUGCAGGUGCAGCUGGACUUUUAUCUGAGCUAAAAGCAUAUCUAUUUAGUCCUCGUCAAACAGGAUUAUUACUUUUGCUGCAGCUAACAUAAAGGAUAAUUGUCCUCUUUGCUGACUGAUGCAGGAUUUUACGACACUUUAUGUGUUGUUCA